UACGUAGGGUGCAAGCGUUAAUCGGAAUUACUGGGCGUAAAGCGUGCGCAGGCGGUUGUGCAAGCCAGAUGUGAAAUCCCCGGGCUUAACCUGGGAACUGCAUUUGUGACUGCACGGCUAGAGUGUGUCAGAGGGGGUAGAAUUCCACGUGUGAGCAGUGAAAUGCGUGGAGAUGUGGAGGAAUACCGAUGGCGAAGGCAGCCCCCUGGGAUAACAUGACGCUCAUGCACGAAAGCGUGGGGAGCAAACAGG
rnacentral:rRNA from 1 species